CUUUGUAGCAAGGAUGGUUGA
rnacentral:misc_RNA from 1 species